rnacentral:rRNA from 1 species
GACGGAGGAUGCAAGCGUUAUCCGGAAUGAUUGGGCGUAAAGCGUCCGCAGGUGGCAGUUCAAGUCUGCUGUCAAAGACCGGGGCUUAACUUCGGAAAGGCAGUGGAAACUGAACAGCUAGAGUAUGGUAGGGGCAGAGGGGAUUCCUGGUGUAGCGGUGAAAUGCGCAGAUAUCAGGAGGAACACCGGUGGCGAAGGCGGUUCUCUGGGCAUGUCCUGACGCUGAGGCGCGAAAGCGUGGGGAGCAAACAGG